rnacentral:rRNA from 1 species
GACGAACGCUGGCGGCGUGCUUAACACAUGCAAGUCGAACGGAAAGGCCCCUUCGGGGGUACUCGAGUGGCGAACAGGUGGGUAACACGUGAGUAACCUGCCCUUGACCUCGGGAUAACUUCAGGAAACUGGGGCUAAUACCGGAUAGGAAUCCUUGCUGCAUGGUGGGGGUUGGAAAGCUUCGGCGGUUUUGGAUGGACUCGCGGCUUAUCAGCUUGUUGGUGGGGGAGUGGCUUACCAAGGCUUUGACGGGUAGCCGGCCUGAGAGGGCGACCGGCCACAUUGGGACUGAGAUACGGCCCAGACUCCUACGGGAGGCAGCAGUGGGGAAGAUUGCACAAUGGGCGGAAGCCUGAUGCAGCAACGCCGCGUGCGGGAUGACGGCCUUCGGGUUGUAAACCGCUUUCAGCAGGGGCGAAGCUUGUGGUGACGGUACCUGCAGAAGAAGCACCGGCUAACUACGUG